GAGAAGAACGCAGCGAAAUGCGAUAAUUAAUGUGAAUUGCAGAAUUCCGUGAAUCAUCGAGUCUUUGAACGCACAUUGCGCCUCAUGGCAUUCCGUGAGGCAUGCCCAUCUCAGCGUUAGAAAAUAUUCUCAAAUUUUAGUUUUGUGCUAAAAUUUGGAUCAUGUCAAGGAAGCUAUUACUAUUAUUGUGAUCGCUCUUUGGAAAUUGAUAGGUCUUUGAGUUGCUACUCAUAGAACGUGAUGAAUCUUUCUUCGUUCUAUUGUAAUUCACUCUGGUAGUCCUAAAACUUGUAUGCCUGUGGCAUAUCUUGUAAUUUGACCUGAGAUUGGGUAGGGAUACCCGCUGAACUUAAGCAUAUCAAUAAGCGGAGGA
rnacentral:misc_RNA from 1 species